rnacentral:rRNA from 1 species
AUUGAACGCUGGCGGCAGGCUUAACACAUGCAAGUCGAGCGGGGGAAGGUAGCUUGCUACUGGACCUAGCGGCGGACGGGUGAGUAAUGCUUAGGAAUCUGCCUAUUAGUGGGGGACAACAUCUCGAAAGGGAUGCUAAUACCGCAUACGUCCUACGGGAGAAAGCAGGGGAUCUUCGGACCUCGCGCUAAUAGAUGAGCCUAAGUCGGAUUAGCUAGUUGGUGGGGUAAAGGCCUACCAAGGCGACGAUCUGUAGCGGGUCUGAGAGGAUGAUCCGCCACACUGGGACUGAGACACGGCCCAGACUCCUACGGGAGGCAGCAGUGGGGAAUAUUGGACAAUGGGGGGAACCCUGAUCCAGCCAUGCCGCGUGUGUGAAGAAGGCCUUAUGGUUGUAAAGCACUUUAAGCGAGGAGGAGGCUACUCUAGUUAAUACCUAGGGAUAGUGGACGUUACUCGCAGAAUAAGCACCGGCUAACUCUGUGCCAGCCGCCGCGGUAA